CACGUAGGGGGCAAGCGUUGUCCGGAUUUAUUGGGCGUAAAGAGCUCGUAGGCGGCUUAGUAAGGCGGGUGUGAAACCUCCAGGCUCAACCUGGAGACGCCACCCGAUACUGCUGUGGCUAGAGUCCGGUAGGGGAGCGUGGAAUUCCUGGUGUAGCGGUGAAAUGCGCAGAUAUCAGGAGGAACACCAGCGGCGAAGGCGGCGCUCUGGGCCGGUACUGACGCUGAGGAGCGAAAGCGUGGGGAGCAAACAGG
rnacentral:rRNA from 1 species